GUGCUCGCUUCGGCAGCACAUACACUAAAGUUGGGACAAUAAUGGUGAAGAUUAGCAUGGCCCCUGCGCAAGGAUGACAUACAAAUCCACCAAGUGUUCUUUACUUUG
ensembl:snRNA Gm24207 U6 spliceosomal RNA